GACACUUGUGAUGAAAUGCAUCCAGCUUUUGCGUCUCUUUCUUGAGAACAAUGACAUCAUUCAGAAAACAACUCUCCUCUGUGUACCACUUGCACUGACUUUCAUCCAGCACCACAAAAGUUUUCAGGGGCCCUGUUUGCUCUGCAUACAUCACCUGAAGCUUCUGUACCCUAUAUAUGUGUGGGACCGGACAAACUUAGCAGUGGGACAGAGCUGAUGUCAUUGCGAGGCCUGAUUGGACCAACAACAGCUCAGCAGGCCAGUGGCAGCAGAACUGAUGUAAUAAGAACUGAAACCCAGGUAGCUACCCAUCAGCGUGGGACCUGGUGAAGCAGUUCUCUCUGGGGUGAAGCACACUAGUGGAGAAGGAUUGCCAUCUCUUGACUACCACUGUGUUAAUUAGCCCUGGGAGUGGGGCUUGUGGUGUGACAAAGCACUCUAGACCUCAAUGAACCAGACAAUGAUUAUUUCAACUGGGGG